GGCACCUCGAUGUCGGCUCAUCGCAUCCUGGGGCUGAAGCAGGUCCCAAGGGUUGGGCUGUUCGCCCAUUAAAGCGGUACGCGAGCUGGGUUUAGAACGUCGUGAGACAGUUCGGUCCCUAUCCUCUGCAGCCGGAAGAGAUUUGAGGAAAGCUAUCCCUAGUACGAGAGGACCGGGAUGGACGUAGCUCUCGUGUGCCAGUUGUUCCGCCAGGAGCAUGGCUGGUUGGCGACCUACGGAAGGGAUAACCGCUGAAAGCAUCUAAGCGGGAAGCCUUUUCCAAGAUGAGAUCUCUCACCGGGUUAACCGGGUAAGGCCCGUGGUAGAACACCACGUUGAUAGGCCGGAAGUGUACGCACAGCAAUGUGUUUAGCUGACCGGUACUAAUCGGCCGAGGGCUUGGUUCU
rnacentral:rRNA from 1 species